AGUCGUUAAUCUUAGAGAGCAAUAUCCCACAAACCCCAUCUCAUUUUUAAUUAACCAAAAAAGACUCAUUCCCCAUCUUUCCACCCCUAAAUCCCCUUUUCUAUCGAAUCUUCUCUCGUCUCUGAAAGAAACCCUAACAGGUGCCUCCAGUUCUCUCCGAGUCCAAUCAAAAUAUAGAGUCAAUCCAUGAUUUACUUACCUAUUUUGAGGUACUACGAUGGUGUAUACACUUUUGUGGCAUUACUUCGAGUUCUUGUAUUAUUUUGGGAAACUAUCUUCCGAGAUUUUAUUUGGUCGACUUUGAUUCUAUGGGGAUUUGGACGAUGUCUCGUCUAUAUACAUCAUACAAGGAAGGAUCCUUGAUUCUUGGUUCGAUUCUCAUACGUCUGGACCCAACUAGGGUUUGAGAAUCUCUUUCUCCUUUGCCAAUUUUGAUUGCAUGAGAUAUAUUCUUUCCUUCUUUGUAUUUGAUUGAUAAUUUUCCAUAUUUAUCUACUUAAUUUGAACACUAUAUAAACCCCUCCCUUAAUUCCCUUUAAACAAAGCUUAGUCACUGGAAUUAACCAAUAUUACUCUCUUAUUCCCUCAUUCUAUAUUGUUCGGAACUUUGGCUCUUGGCUAGCUGAAAGUUAAGGCCUAAAAUUUGAUUAGUUGACCUUUGUUAGUACGAGAACUUCCCCGAGUUUAUCUGAAACCCAACUUUGACGGACUAAGAUUAUUUUGGGUGCUGCUACUCUCUAUUGAUGUUUGAAGUACCGUUGAGACUGUUCUACCUGUUCAUUUUAUUGUCAAUUAAUAGUUAGUAAGUUCUUUUACCUUAGCAAUUCAUCCUCUUUCGUUUGUGUUCAUACUCAGUAUAUUCAUGCCAUUGAGACUUUGUGAAUGAAUAUGUUCCUAUGCCAUAUAUGUUUGCAACCUGACUGGCUCUAAAGUUGUUUUGUGACUCUGUUUCUUUUCUAGCAUUUAAACUUGCCUAUAACUCCCAACUCUUAUAUCUGUCUAUUACAUAUGUUCAAUAUGAUUGAUUUUUGACUCUCUUAAGCAUGAUUACCCUAAUGUGUAUGUUUGAAUGCUUAUUACCUGCUACUCUCUCAAAUUUUAUCCCCUACUUUGUUCUGCAUCCUUACAAUAGACAAACUCAUGUGUUCAAAUGUAUUUUAUAUGUUACUACGACCAAUGUCAACCAAUUGUGAGCUUUACUGUGUGUUCCAUGCUUUCGACCAUGAACCUAUACUGUUAGUUUCCAUUUUAAAAUCACUAUAUUGAGGUUGUCCCUUAGUGCUCCCUUAGCUUUUUAUGAUCAGAUCCCCUAUUUGAGAGUUGCCUUAGGUUGUUUUCUGACCAUGUGAUUGUUAUCCUAUGACGAUUAAUCAUGUCCACUAACUUUUAAAAUGCAAGCAUGAACUUGCUUUAUGUGUGCCCUGCCAGCAUGCCACAUGAAUUUUUUUUAUGUCUUAGUGAGAAUUAGUACUAUAGUCCUAAGAACUAAGUGUAUGGACUUCCUACUCUGUUUAAUUAUUCAACGUAUAGUUUGUUGCUUGUGUGGUUGAGUUUGACAUCUGAUUGGGAUGUAAGUCAUUCAUUUGGGCUAGUGUUUGGUUUUAUAUUUUGUUAGACUUGGUUGUUGGAUUCAGACUUACUAUACUAGUCUUAUGAGCUGGGGAUUUGGUUCUAUUAGUUAAAUGAAAGAAAGUCGUCGAAGACCCAGAAAAGCACUAGGUUAUUUUAUAUUAGGCCUAUCAUUGUUCUAUUGGGCCCAUAGUUAUCUCCUCAUGUAAUUGUUCAUAUUUGGUUUGUAUUAUGGGAUUUUUACCUACUUAUAUCAUAUAUGAAAACUUAUUACCCUCAAUGUUUAAGGUUUAUGUUUAUUACAUUUAUGCAUACC
rnacentral:lncRNA from 1 species